rnacentral:rRNA from 1 species
CCUACGGGAGGCAGCAGUAGGGAAUCUUUCACAAUGGGCGAAAGCCUGAUGGAGCAACGCCGCGUGCAGGAUGAAGGCCUUCGGGUUGUAAACUGCUUUUAUAAGCGAGAAAUAUGAUGGUCACUUAUGAAUACGGAUCUGCUAACUACGUGCCAGCAGCCGCGGUCAUACGUAGGAUCCGAGCAUUAUCCGGGGUGACUGGGUGUAAAGAGUUGCGUAGGUGGCAUAAUAAGUAGCUAGUGAAAUCUGGUGGCUCAACCAUUCAGACUAUUAGCUAAACUGUUAAGCUCGAGAACGUUAGGGGUAACUGGAAUUUCUAGUGUAGGAGUGAAAUCCGUAGAUAUUAGAAGGAACACCAAUAGCGUAGGCAGGUUACUGGGACGGUUCUGACACUAAGGCACGAAAGCGUAGGGAGCAAACGGGAUUAGAUACCCCUGUAGUC